rnacentral:rRNA from 1 species
UACGGGGGGGGCAAGCGUUGUUCGGAAUUACUGGGCGUAAAGGGCUCGUAGGUGGCCAACUAAGUCAGACGUGAAAUCCCUCGGCUUAACCGGGGAACUGCGUCUGAUACUGGAUGGCUUGAGUUUGGGAGAGGGACGCGGAAUUCCGGGUGUAGCGGUGAAAUGCGUAGAUAUCAGGAGGAACACCGGUGGCGAAGGCGGGUCUCUGGGCCGAUACUGACGCUGAGGAGCGAAAGCGUGGGGAGCGAACAGG